CUGGUGUGGUUAAAGGGUUCAUGGGGAAGACAAGGUAUGGUGCUUUGGGUGGUGGAGCUAACUCUGUGAAUCAUGGCUACACCAAGGGAGAUGGGCUUGGUGCUGAAAUUGUUGGCACCUUUGUGCUUGUUUACACUGUGUUCUCAGCCACUGAUGCCAAGCGCAGUGCCAGAGACUCUCACGUCCCUGUAAGUUCAAUUUUCUUCAAUUGAAUCAUUCGAUUGUCUAAACCAUAUAUGAGAUUUUUAACCAUAACCAUGUGUUUGGUAGAUUCUGGCACCAUUGCCAAUUGGGUUCGCAGUGUUCUUGGUGCACUUAGCCACCAUCCCAAUCACAGGAACCGGUAUUAACCCAGCUCGUAGUCUUGGUGCAGCCAUCAUUUUCAACAAGGACAAGGGCUGGGAUGAC
rnacentral:lncRNA from 1 species